AAAAAGUUUGAUUCUUGCUUAGGAGAUUACUGUUUAUAUUUUUUACAUGCGUUUUUGUUAAUUUACGAUAGGAGCAGUAUUUUGAAUUAUACUACCAUAAAUUGGGUAUAAAAAUAUAAUUUUUGUUGAAUAAAUAUGUGCCAGCAUUCGCGGUUAUACAUAAGACAUAAGUGAUCAAUUUUGGUUAAAAUAAAAUUUAUUUAGUUAUAAUUCUCUAUAAAUAGUAGAUUUUAGGUGAAAUUAUAUAUGCUAUAAGUAAUUUAUUUAAGUUUUUAAGAAUUAUUGAAAAACCCGGAUUAGAUACCCGGCUAUAGAAAAAUAGAUUGGCUACCUAAGUAUUAGUAUUUAUUUAUAAACUUAAAGAAUUUGGCGGCAUUUUAUUCUUUUUAGAGGAACUUGCUCAGUAAAUGAUAAUCCACGCUUAAAUCUACUAAUUUAAAUUCUUAUAUACCGCUGUCUUAAGAAUAGAUUAUGAGAUUUUUUCUGAAAUAAUAGCUUUAAGUAAGUCAAGUCAAGGUGUAGACAAUAAUUUAGUUGAAGUGAGUUACAUUAGUUGAAUUUAUGGUAUUAAGUUGAAUGAAAUAAUUAAUUAAAUUGGAUUUAAUAGUAAAAUUAAAGUUUUAUUUAUAUGGGGUUUGAAAUUAGUUCUAAAAUGUGCACACAUCGCCCGUCGCUCUCGUUAUAAGAUGAGAUAAGUCGUAACAAAGUAGAUCUGCUGGAAAGGGGCUCUUGGAAGAG
rnacentral:ncRNA from 1 species